rnacentral:tRNA from 1 species
GACCUCUUAGCUCAGUGGUAGAGCGUGUGAUUCCAGCUGAAUUUCAAAUUACAAUUUGAAAUUUAGGACUCCACAAGGUCGUCCGUUCAAUCCGGGCAGAGGUCA